rnacentral:rRNA from 1 species
AAAACGACUCUCGGUAACGGAUAUCUCGGCUCUCGCAUCGAUGAAGAACGUAGCGAAAUGCGAUACUUGGUGUGAAUUGCAGAAUCCCGUGAACCAUCGAGUCUUUGAACGCAAGUUGCGCCCAAAACCCUCGGGUCGAGGGCACGUCUGCCUGGGUGUCACGC